rnacentral:rRNA from 1 species
AACGAACGCUGGCGGCAUGCCUAACACAUGCAAGUCGAACGAUCCCUUCGGGGAUAGUGGCGCACGGGUGCGUAACGCGUGGGAACCUGCCCUUAGGUUCGGAAUAACUCAGAGAAAUUUGAGCUAAUACCGGAUAAUGUCUUCGGACCAAAGAUUUAUCGCCUUUGGAUGGGCCCGCGUUGGAUUAGCUAGUUGGUGGGGUAAAGGCCUACCAGGCGACGAUCCAUAGCUGGUCUGAGAGGAUGAUCAGCCACACUGGGACUGAGACACGGCCCAGACUCCUACGGGAGGCAGCAGUGGGGAAUAUUGGACAAUGGGCGAAAGCCUGAUCCAGCAAUGCCGCGUGAGUGAUGAAGGCCUUAGGGUUGUAAAGCUCUUUUACCCGGGAUGAUAAUGACAGUACCGGGAGAAUAAGCCCCGGCUAACUCCGUG